rnacentral:rRNA from 1 species
GGAUCCAGACUUUGAUUAUGGCUCAGGAUGAACGCUGGCGGCGUGCCUAACACAUGCAAGUCGAACGAAGCUUGACGGAUGAUUUCUUCGGAAUGAAACCAGAUAUGACUUAGUGGCGGACGGGUGAGUAACACGUGAGCAACCUGCCUUUCAGAGGGGGAUAACGGCUGGAAACGGUCGCUAAUACCGCAUGAUGUGUUCGGAUGGCAUCAUCUGAACAUCAAAGAUUUAUCGCUGAAAGAUGGGCUCGCGUCUGAUUAGAUAGUUGGUGGGGUAACGGCCUACCAAGUCGACGAUCAGUAGCCGGACUGAGAGGUUGAACGGCCACAUUGGGACUGAGAUACGGCCCAGACUCCUACGGGAGGCAGCAGUGGGGAAUAUUGCACAAUGGGGGAAACCCUGAUGCAGCAACGCCGCGUGAAGGAUGACGGUUUUCGGAUUGUAAACUUCUUUUCUUAGUGACGAAGACAGUGACGGUAGCUAAGGAAUAAGCAUCGGCUAACUACGUGCCAGCAGCCGCGGUAAUACGUAGGAUGCAAGCGUUAUCCGGAUUUACUGGGUGUAAAGGGAGCGCAGGCGGGACUGCAAGUUGGAUGUGAAAUACCGUGGCUUAACCACGGAACUGCAUCCAAAACUGUAGUUCUUGAGUGAAGUAGAGGCAAGCGGAAUUCCGAGUGUAGCGGUGAAAUGCGUAGAUAUUCGGAGGAACACCAGUGGCGAAGGCGGCUUGCUGGGCUUUAACUGACGCUGAGGCUCGAAAGUGUGGGGAGCA